GCAAGUGGUAGGAAGCCGAAACGGUGACCGACCUUCGGGAGCUUGCACAGGUGCUGCAUGGCUGUCGUCAGCUCGUGUCGUGAGAUGUUCGGUUAAGUCCGCUACGAGCGCAACCCUCGCUGUGUGUUAUAUGUGUCACACGGGACUGCCGGUCUUAAGCCGGAGGAAGGUGGGGAUGAUGUCAAGUCAGCAUGGCCUUUAUAUCCUGGGCUACACACACGCUACAAUGGCCAACACAAUAGGUUGCUAAGCCGCGAGGUGGCGCCAAUCCAUAAAGUUGGUCUCAGUUCAGAUUGUAGGCUGCAACCCGCCUGCAUGAAGAUGGAGUUGCUAGUAACCGCAGGUCAGCUAUACUGCGGUGAAUACGUUCCCGGGGCUU
rnacentral:rRNA from 1 species